rnacentral:rRNA from 1 species
GAUGAACGCUGGCGGCGUGCCUAAUACAUGCAAGUCGAGCGAACAGACGAGGAGCUUGCUCCUCUGACGUUAGCGGCGGACGGGUGAGUAACACGUGGAUAACCUACCUAUAAGACUGGGAUAACUUCGGGAAACCGGAGCUAAUACCGGAUAAUCUAUUGAACCGCAUGGUUCAAUAGUGAAAGACGGUUUUGCUGUCACUUAUAGAUGCAUCCGCGCCUCAUUAGCUAGUUGGUAAGGUAACGGCUUACCACGGCAACGAUGCCUAGCCGACCUGAGAGCGUGAUCGGCCACACUGGAACUGACACACGGUACAGGCUCCUACGGGAGGCAGCAGUAGGGAAGCUUCCGCAAUGGGCGAAAGCCUGACGGAGCAGCGCCGGGUGAGUGAUGAAGGUCUUCGGAUCGUAAAACUCUGUUAUUAGGGAAGAACAAAUGUGUAAGUAACUAUGCACGUCUGGACGGUACCUAAUUAGAAAGCCACGGCUAACUACGU